rnacentral:rRNA from 1 species
UACGGAGGGUGCAAGCGUUAUCCGGAUUUACUGGGUUUAAAGGGUGCGUAGGUGGGCAGGUAAGUCAGUGGUGAAAUCUUCAAGCUUAACUUGGAAACUGCCAUUGAUACUAUUUGUCUUGAAUAUCCUGGAGGUAAGCGGAAUAUGUCAUGUAGCGGUGAAAUGCUUAGAUAUGACAUAGAACACCCAUUGCGAAGGCAGCUUACUACGGGAUUAUUGACACUGAGGCACGAAAGCGUGGGGAU